rnacentral:rRNA from 1 species
GACGAACGCUGGCGGCGUGCUUAACACAUGCAAGUCGAGCGGUAAGGCCCUUCGGGGUACGACGAGCGGCGAACGGGUGAGUAACACGUGGGUGACCUGCCUCUAGCUCUGGGAUAAGCCUGGGAAACUGGGUCUAAUACCGGAUAUGACUCCACGGCGCAUGUUGUGGGGUGGAAAGCCUUGUGUGGCUAGAGAUGGGCCCGCGGCCUAUCAGCUUGUUGGUGGGGUGAUGGCCUACCAAGGCGACGACGGGUAGCCGGCCUGAGAGGGCGACCGGCCACACUGGGACUGAGACACGGCCCAGACUCCUACGGGAGGCAGCAGUGGGGAAUCUUGCGCAAUGGGCGAAAGCCUGACGCAGCGACGCCGCGUGAGGGAUGACGGCCUGGU